GAUGAACGCUGGCGGCGUGCUUAACACAUGCAAGUCGAACGGGAAUUACUUUAUUGAAACUUCGGUCGAUUUAAUUUAAUUCUAGUGGCGGACGGGUGAGUAACGCGUGGGUAACCUGCCUUAUACAGGGGGAUAACAGUCAGAAAUGGCUGCUAAUACCGCAUAAGCGCACAGAGCUGCAUGGCUCAGUGUGACAAACUCCGGUGGUAUAAGAUGGACCCGCGUUGGAUUAGCUUGUUGGUGGGGUAACGGCCCACCAAGGCGACGAUCCAUAGCCGGCCUGAGAGGGUGAACGGCCACAUUGGGACUGAGACACGGCCCAGACUCCUACGGGAGGCAGCAGUGGGGAAUAUUGCACAAUGGGGGAAACCCUGAUGCAGCGACGCCGCGUGAAGGAAGAAGUAUCCCGGUAUGUAAACUUCUAUCAGCAGGGAAGAUAGUGACGGUACCUGACUAAGAAGCCCCGGCUAACUACGUGCCAGCAGCCGCAGUAA
rnacentral:rRNA from 1 species